rnacentral:RNase_P_RNA from 1 species
CAGGGUGGUUGGAUGGUCGCGCCUGUCUUCAGUAAUGUUUGGCAGGUGAGGAAAGUCCGGGCUCCACAGGGCAAGGGCGCUGGAUAACGUCCAGGCUUCGUAAGGGAAACCUUGCGGGGACGGAGAGUGCAACAGAAAAUAUACCGCCUGUUGUCUGCAGCAAUGCAGAUAUCAGGUAAGGGUGAAAUGGUGCGGCAAGAGCGCACCGGGUUAUCAGUGAUGAUAUACCCUGGAAAACCCCGCCUGGAGCAAGAUCAAACAGGGGGAGGGGUAGCCCGCCCCGUUAAAUUGAAAACCCCGGGAUGGUCGCUUGAGGUUGCAGGUAACUGCAGUCCCAGACAGAUGACCGUCGCCUCUCACGAGGAACAGAACCCGGCUUACAGGCCACUCUGCUUA